AUUGAACGCUGGCGGCAGGCUUAACACAUGCAAGUCGAGCGGGGUGAUGGUGCUUGCACUAUCACUUAGCGGCGGACGGGUGAGUAAUGCUUAGGAAUCUGCCUAUUAGUGGGGGACAACAUCUCGAAAGGGAUGCUAAUACCGCAUACGUCCUACGGGAGAAAGCAGGGGAUCACCUGUGACCUUGCGCUAAUAGGUGAGCCUAAGUCGGAUUAGCUAGUUGGUGGGGUAAAGGCCUACCAAGGCGACGAUCUGUAGCGGGUCUGAGAGGAUGAUCCGCCACACUGGGACUGAGACACGGCCCAGACUCCUACGGGAGGCAGCAGUGGGGAAUAUUGGACAAUGGGGGGAAUCCUGAUCCAGCCAUGCCGCGUGUGUGAAGAAGGCCUUAUGGUUGUAAAGCACUUUAAGCGAGGAGGAGGCUCUUUUGGUUAAUACCCAAGAUGAGUGGACGUUACUCGCAGAAUAAGCACCGGCUAACUCUGUGCCAGCCGCCGCCGUAA
rnacentral:rRNA from 1 species